GUGGGGAAUAUUGGGCAAUGGGGGAAACCCUGACCCAGCAACGCCGCGUGAGGGAAGAAGGUUUUCGGAUUGUAAACCUCUGUCCUUGGUGACGAAGGAAGUGACGGUAACCAAGGAGGAAGCCCCGGCUAACUACGUGCCAGCAGCCGCGGUAAUACGUAGGGGGCAAGCGUUGUCCGGAAUGACUGGGCGUAAAGGGCGUGUAGGCGGCCGAUUAAGUCUGGAGUGACAGUCCUGCUUUCAAGGUGGGAAUUGCUUGGGAGACUGGUUGGCUUGAGUGCGGAAGAGGUAAGUGGAAUUCCCAGUGUAGCGGUGAAAUGCGUAGAGAUUGGGAGGAACACCAGUGGCGAAGGCGACUUACUGGGCCGUAACUGACGCUGAGGCGCGAAAGCGUGGGGAGCGAACAGGAUUAGAUACCCUGGUAGUCC
rnacentral:rRNA from 1 species